UACAGAGGUCUCAAGCGUUGUUCGGAUUCAUUGGGCGUAAAGGGUGCGUAGGCGGCGCGGUAAGUCGGGUGUGAAAUCUCGGGGCUUAACUCCGAAACUGCAUUCGAUACUGCCGUGCUUGAGGACUGGAGAGGAGACUGGAAUUUACGGGUGUAGCGGUGAAAUGCGUAGAUAUCGUAAGGAAGACCAGUGGCGAAGGCGGGUCUCUGGACAGUUCCUGACGCUGAGGCACGAAGGUCAGGGGAGCAAACGGG
rnacentral:rRNA from 1 species